GCCAGGCAUGGUGGUGCAUGCCUGUAAUCCCAGCUACUUUGGGAGGCUGAGGCAGGAGAAUUGCUUGAACCUGGGAGAUGGAAGUUGCAGUGAAUUGAGAUCGUGCCACUGCACUCCAGCCUGGGCAACAGAGCAAGACUCUGUCUCAA
ensembl:misc_RNA Metazoa_SRP Metazoan signal recognition particle RNA